UACGUUGGUGGCAAGCGUUGUCCGGAAUUACUGGGUGUAAAGGGAGCGCAGGCGGGAAGCCAAGUCAGCUGUGAAAACUACGGGCUUAACUUGUAGACUGCAGUUGAAACUGGUUUUCUUGAGUGAAGUAGAGGUUGGCGGAAUUCCGAGUGUAGCGGUGAAAUGCGUAGAUAUUCGGAGGAACACCGGUGGCGAAGGCGGCCAACUGGGCUUUAACUGACGCUGAGGCUCGAAAGUGUGGGGAGCAAACAGG
rnacentral:rRNA from 1 species